rnacentral:tRNA from 1 species
GAGCCUGUAGCUCAGUCUGGAUUAGAGCAUCUGCCUCCUAAGCAGAAGGUCGAGGGUUCAAAUCCCUUCAGGCUCG